rnacentral:rRNA from 1 species
CGUAGGCGGAUCUGUAAGUCAGUGGUGAAAUCUCAUAGCUUAACUAUGAAACUGCCAUUGAUACUGCAGGUCUUGAGUAAAGUAGAAGUGGCUGGAAUAAGUAGUGUAGCGGUGAAAUGCAUAGAUAUUACUUAGAACACCAAUUGCGAAGGCAGGUCACUAUGUUUUAACUGACGCUGAUGGACGAAAGCGUGGGGAGCGAACAGGAUUAGAUACCCUGGUAGUCCACGCCGUAAACGAUGCUAACUCGUUUUUGGGUCUUCGGAUUCAGAGACUAAGCGAAAGUGAUAAGUUAGCCACCUGGGGAGUACGUUCGCAAGAAUGAAACUCAAAGGAAUUGACGGGGGCCCGCACAAGCGGUGGAUUAUGUGGUUUAAUUCGAUGAUACGCGAGGAACCUUACCAAGGCUUAAAUGGGAAUUGACAGGUUUAGAAAUAGACUUUUCUUCGGACAAUUUUCAAGGUGCUGCAUGGUUGUCGUCAGCUCGUGCCGUGAGGUGUUAGGUUAAGUCCUGCAACGAGCGCAACCCCUGUCACUAGUUGCCAUCAUUCAGUUGGGGACUCUAGUGAGACUGCCUACGCAAGUAGAGAGGAAGGUGGGGAUGACGUCAAAUCAUCACGGCCCUUACGCCUUGGGCCACACACGUAAUACAAUGGCCGGUACAGAGGGCAGCUACCUAGCGAUAGGAUGCGAAUCUCGAAAGCCGGUCUCAGUUCGGAUUGGAGUCUGCAACUCGACUCUAUGAAGCUGGAAUCGCUAGUAAU